CGCAAUUCAACGAAUCAGUCGUUUUCCUCGAUGCUUAUUUCAUGGUAUGCCUGUUUUUUCGUUGGUUCGUUUGAUUUCAGCGCAGAAUCUAGAGAGGAUUCAAAGGAGUGGAAAUGGCAAUCGAACCCCAUAUGAUUUGGCUGGUUAAAUUUAGAAAAUCGGAUAGGUCGAACAUUGAUCGGUUCUUGUGCGAAUAAGACGAUGAAGGUAUCGAUCGGUUCACAUUUUAACAGCGUAUUUAUCAGUGAUUAGUGUACUAUGUUUUGUUUUAUACAUUGGGAACCCCGGCCCCAACCUCGGGCUCGCUGACCCCAGUCACAGCGGUGGCCCUUCGGACGCACAGAACCGAGUAAACCCAAACCUACACGCACGAGCAAGCAACACACGUGUGGGAGGUGAAUCAACCGACAGGCGACAUGUGAGCGGCUGGAGUCGAACCCCCAACAUCUCGGUAUGGAGGCCAUGCUCUUUGCCGAUUCAGUUGGGGGUUUUCCCCUCAGCGUACUGUGUUUCUGGUUUAAGACAGAUCUUUAGGGGCGGAGCCAUUUGCCAUCGGUGCUGUUCUUCAGUUUAUGUACGUUAUAUCGGGUACAGACAGUUCUUACAUUGCCUGCGAAUCGAGUGUCCCGCAGAAUUAAGGAGGAUCUGAAGAAUCAUGUUUGGAUUUUAUAAUCGUAAUUUGCAUUUGCAGGUUCUAUAUUCCCCGAUCCUUGUCUUCUGUAAUCAAAUCUGAUUCUUGUCAUGUUUAUGGGGAUGAUCUUACAAAUUGCUUUC